rnacentral:piRNA from 6 species
GGUCUAGUGGUUAGGAUUCGGCGC